AAAGAAAUUAUUAUUAAUAUUAUAAUUUUUAUUUAAUUUAAUAAAAAUAAUUUUAUUUAUUUAAAGUUUAAGUAGUGUUUAAUGAAAAAAUUAAUUUAAUUAUAGUUAAUUAGUAUUGUAAAAGAAAUAUGAAAUAAAUAAUUAUUAAUAAAAAGUAAUAUUAAUUUUAUGUACCUUGUGUAUCAGGGUUUAUUAAAUAAAUAUUAUAAAUUUUAAUUUUCCCGAAUUUAAGAGAGAGAAUAUAUAAUUUUUUUUAUUGUGAAAAAAAUAUUUAAAAUUAUAUAUUAGUAAUGAAAUGUUAUUCGUUCUUAAAUAUAUCUGGUUUAUUUAGAAAUGGAUUUAAUUCAAUUAAUUUAAUUUUAUUAUUUUAUUUAUUUAAUUUAAUAAAUUUUAUUAAUAAUAAUUAAAGGGAUUAGCUUUUAAUUAAAAUUCUAUAAAUUAUAAAAUAAAUUUUAAAAAUGUAAGUUUAGAAAUAUCUAUCAUUUAUAGUUUGUUAUAAUUAAUUUAAUUAAAAAUAUUAUUUGAAAUAAUUUUAGGUUUUUUAUAAAUAAAUAAUUUUUAAUUUUAAAAAAUUAGAUAUAAUGAUAAAAUUAGUAUAUUAGAAUGUUUAAAUAAUUAUUAAAGUAAGAUUAUUUAAAGGAAUUCGGCAAAAAUUUUACUUGCCUGUUUAACAAAAACAUGUCCUCUUGAAUUUAAUUUGAGGUCUAGCCUGCCCACUGAAAUUAUUUAAAUGGCCGCAGUAAUUUGACUGUGCAAAGGUAGCAUAAUCAUUAGUUUUUUAAUUAAAAGCUUGUAUGAAUGGUUGGACAAAGUAAAAUCUGUCUCUAUUUAAUUUAUAAUAGAAUUUAAUUUUUAAGUUAAAAAGCUUAAAUUUUUAUAAAAGACGAGAAGACCCUAUAGAUCUUUAUUUAGAUUUAUAUAAUUUUAAUUUAGAAUUUUUUAUUAAUUAUAUUUUUUUAAAUUUUAUUGGGGUAAUAAAAAGAUUAAAAAAAUUCUUUUUUUAAUAUACAUUGAUUUAUGAAUAAAUGAUCCAAUAUUUUUGAUUAAAAGAUUAAGUUACCUUAGGGAUAACAGCGUAAUUUUUUUAGAGAGUUCAUAUCGAUAAAAAAGUUUGCGACCUCGAUGUUGGAUUAAAAAUUAUCUUAGGUGCAGAAGUUUAAGAUUUUGGUCUGUUCGACCAUUGAAUUUUUACAUGAUCUGAGUUCAGACCGGCGUAAGCCAGGUCGGUUUCUAUCUUUAUUUAAAUAAAAUAUUUUAGUACGAAAGGACCAAAUAUUUAAUAAAAUUUUAUUUUAAUUUUUGAAUAUUAU
rnacentral:rRNA from 1 species